rnacentral:rRNA from 1 species
AGAGCGAACGCUGGCGGCAGGCCUAACACAUGCAAGUCGAGCGCCCCGCAAGGGGAGCGGCAGACGGGAGAGUAACACGUGGGAACGUACCCUUCAGUUCGGAACAACCCAGGGAAACUUGGGCUAAUACCGAAUACGUCCGUAAGGAGAAAGAUUUAUCGCUGAAGGAUCGGCCCGCGUCUGAUUAGCUUGUUGGUGAGGUAACGGCUCACCAAGGCGACGAUCAGUAGCUGGUCUGAGAGGAUGAUCAGCCUCACUGGGACUGAGACACGGCCCAGACUCCUACGGGAGGCAGCAGUGGGGAAUAUUGGACAAUGGGCGCAAGCCUGAUCCAGCCAUGCCGCGUGGGUGAUGAAGGCCCUAGGGUUGUAAAGCCCUUUCGGCGGGAAGAUAAUGACGGUACCCGCAGAAGAAGCCCCGGCUAACUUCGUGCCAGCAGCCGC